UACGAAGGGGGCUAGCGUUGCUCGGAAUUACUGGGCGUAAAGCGCACGUAGGCGGAUUGUUAAGUCGGGGGUGAAAUCCUGGAGCUCAACUCCAGAACUGCCUUCGAUACUGGCGAUCUCGAGUUCGGGAGAGGUGAGUGGAACUGCGAGUGUAGAGGUGAAAUUCGUAGAUAUUCGCAAGAACACCAGUGGCGAAGGCGGCCCCCUGGACCGGUACUGACGCUGAGGCGCGAAAGCGUGGGUAGCAAACGGG
rnacentral:rRNA from 1 species